UCAAUAGUCAUUAAAAUGAAUGAUCCAUGUCAAUGGCCUACAAAAUUGAUGGUCCAUGACUAACUGAUUUUCACUAACCAUCAUAUGGACUACACAUUUGAUUUCAUGGGCCAUUUUAUUGAUUGUGGAGCUCAAGAUCACUUUGCUAGUGGAAUUGACUGAUUCAGGAAUUAUGGAAUUUACUUUUUUUCCUUAUUUGACACCAUGCUUUUGGACCUUCUAAUUGCCUAAUUUGUUAAUUGGGUAAAGGGUUGUUGCUCAAAUGUCUUAACAACACACUUCAUGAAUUGGGUGGUAUUAAAUCUACCGAAUUCAUGAAUUACCUGUUGAUGCAAAACUUCUUGCAGGCUUCAUUUUUUCUUCUUUCUUUAAAGUGAGCUUUGAAUAUUGGUCUUUCAUAUUCAUAUGCAUUGGGCUUCAAUCAAUGCAGGGGUAUUACUCAAUGGCUAAACAGCUAUUGAACUUUGAGGUUCUCAAUCAGGUAACCAUCACUUGCUGUCCUCUGUCAUCAUUGUUAUGAAUGUUUUUCUUUGAACAAGAGAAAAGUAUCAUUGGAGAUUUUCAAUGGUAUUUUGGUAUGGCUACCAUCAUCCUGUUUGUUCCUUCUAACUGAAAUUAUUAUAUCAGCAAUCUCCUGAGAAAACCAUUUCUAAAUUUGAAUUUCUUAAGAAGAAAUUUUAUAUUGAAAGAAGCUUAGAUGAGUUUUUUAAUUGGAAUGAGCAAGGAAUAGGAGGAGAGAGAUUUUAAGAUGAAUUAGUCCUCUUUAUAUAUAUAUAACUCAAGGUUUUCUAUUAGCAUUUUUCACCAGUGAGGAAAUAGCUGAAUUUAUCGUAUGUAACAUGCAUGCAAGUAAUGUGUGCUUGCAAGUGCCCCACACAUGCCAACGUGGGACACGUGUGUGAGUCCAGGUGACUCAUUAAGCAUGUCUAAUGAACAGCUCAGAUAAUGCAUCCAUGCUGGCACCACAGUCACUUGUAACCAUUGCAUCUCUUCUUGACUAUCUUCUUGCAGGCCAUAAACUUAAAUGUUAUGAUUGUCCCAUCAAGGAGAUUUUCAAUGCUUGGUCCAUCUAUUAUGGGUCCAACAGACUGAUGGUGGGCCCCACUUGUAGAUAGCCUUGGUUGAAACACAUGAAGAAAAUGAGGUGUACUCUGAACCUUGUGUGAGCCCCCACAAGAUGUAAAAGCUUAUAUCCAUCGAUUUGGCUGCACAGGGAGAGCUGGUAAUAGAGUUUGAUAUCCAUCGAUCUGGUAAGGACUGGUUGCACAUUUACUACGUGAGUUCUCUUAUAUUAGGCAAUAGUGUGAGCCCCCAUGAGAUGUAAAACCUAAAGAAGCAUUUGUUGAUGAGUUUUCUUAUACUAGGCAAUGAAGAGUGCUAGACAGAUUUUUAAUGCAGUUUCUAGAGCUUAAAAUCAUAUACUUUCUAAUUUGAAAACUUGCAGUGAUUUGUUCUUAGGUUUGUAUUGUACUUUCAAGUGUGUCCAAGGUAUCUUAUUUUUAAGCUUAACAAUGAGUCUUU